GGCGGACGGGUGAGUAACGCGUAAAGAACUUGCCCUUUAGACUGGGAUAACAGAGGGAAACUUCUGAUAAUACUGGAUAAGUUAGUAUAUCGCAUGAUAUACAAAAUGAAAGCUACGGCACUAAAGGAGAGCUUUGCGUCCUAUUAGCUAGUUGGUAAGGUAAGAGCUUACCAAGGCGAUGAUAGGUAGCCGGCCUGAGAGGGUGGACGGCCACAAGGGGACUGAGAUACGGCCCUUACUCCUACGGGAGGCAGCAGUC
rnacentral:rRNA from 1 species